rnacentral:rRNA from 1 species
AGAUUGAACGCUGGCGGCAGGCCUAACACAUGCAAGUCGAGUGGUAGAGAGGUGCUUGCACCUCUUGAGAGCGGCGGACGGGUGAGUAAAGCCUAGGAAUCUGCCUGGUAGUGGGGGAUAACGCUCGGAAACGGACGCUAAUACCGCAUACGUCCUACGGGAGAAAGCAGGGGACCUUCGGGCCUUGCGCUAUCAGAUGAGCCUAGGUCGGAUUAGCUAGUUGGUGAGUAAUGGCUCACCAAGGCGACGAUCCGUAACUGGUCUGAGAGGAUGAUCAGUCACACUGGAACUGAGACACGGU